rnacentral:rRNA from 1 species
UACGUAGGGUGCGAGCGUUAAUCGGAAUUACUGGGCGUAAAGCGUGCGCAGGCGGUUUUGUAAGCCAGAUGUGAAAACCCCGGGCUUAACCUGGGAAUGGCAUUUGGGACUGCAAGGCUGGAGUGUGGCAGAGGAGACUGGAAUUCCUGGUGUAGCAGUGAAAUGCGUAGAGAUCAGGAGGAACACCCGUGGCGAAGGCGGCACUCUGGGUCGCACCUGACGCUGAGACGCGAAAGCGUGGGGAGCGAACGGG